UUCCGGUUGAUCCUGCCGGACCCCACUGCUAUCGGGAUAGGACUAAGCCAUGCUAGUCGUGCGCCUUCUAGCCAUGAUGGAGGCGCGGCACACAGCUCAGUAGCACGUGGCUAACCUGCCCUUGGGACGGAAGCACCCCCGGGAAACUGGGGCUAAUUUCUGAUAGGUGAAGGCUUCUGGAAUGGACUUUCGCCUAAAGGACGCUUAGAUCAUGCUUCUAGGCGUUGCCCAAGGAUGGGGCCGCGGCCGAUCAGGUUGUUGGUGAGGUAAUGGCUCACCAAGCCUAUAACCGGUGCGGGCCGUGAGAGCGGGAGCCCGGAGAUGGGCACUGAGACAAGGGCCCAGGCCCUACGGGGCGCAACAGGCGCGAAAACUUCGCAAUAAGCGAAAGCUUGACGGGGCUAUCCCGAGUGCCAUCCGCUGAGGAUGGCUUUUCUCUAGUAUAGAUAGCUGGGGGAAUAAGGAGAGGGCAAGUCUGGUGUCAGCCGCCGCGGUAAUACCAGCUCUCCGAGUGGUGUGGACGAUUAUUGGGCCUAAAGCAUCCGUAGCCGGCUGAGCAAGUCCCCUGUUAAACCCAACGAUUCAAUCGUUGGCUUGCGGGGGAUACUGCUCGGCUAGGGGGCGAGAGAGGCCGUCGGUAUUCCCGGGGUAGGGGUGAAAUCCUAUAAUCCCGGGAGGACCACCAGUGGCGAAGGCUGUCGGCUAGAACGCGCUCGACGGUGAGGGAUGAAAGCUGGGGGAGCGAACCGGAUUAGAUCCCCGGGUAGUCCCAGCUGUAAACGAUGCAGGCUAGGUGUUAGGGCGGCCACGUGCCGCUCUAGUGCCGCAGGGAAGCUGUUAAGCCUGCCGCCUGGGGAGUACGGCCGCAAGGCUGAAACUUAAGGGAAUUGGCGGGGGAGCACACAAUGGGUGGAGGCUGCGGUUCAAUUGGAUUCAACGCCGGA
rnacentral:rRNA from 1 species